GCUUGUUGGUGGGGUAAUGGCCUACCAAGACGACGACGGGUAGCCGGCCUGAGAGGGCGACCGGCCACACUGGGACUGAGACAUGGCCCAGACUCCUACGGGAGGCUGCAGUGGGGAAUAUUGCGCAAUGGACGAAAGUCUGACGCAGCAACGCCGCGUGAGGGAUGAAGUACAUCGAGAUGUAAACCUCUUUCAGUAGGGACGAAGCGAAAGUGACGGUACCUGCAGAAGAAGCGCCGGCUAACUACGUGCCAGCAGCCGCGGUAAUACGUAGGGCGCAAGCGUUGUCCGGAUUUAUUGGGCGUAAAGGGCUCGUAGGCGGUUUGUCACGUCGGAUGUGAAAACUCGGAGCUUAACUCCGGGCCUGCAUUCGAUACGGGCCGACUAGAGUUCGGUAGGGGAGACUGGAACUCCUGGUGUAGCGGUGGAAUGCGCAGAUAUCAGGAAGAACACCGAUGGCGAAGGCAGGUCUCUGGGCCGAUACUGACGCUGAGGAGCGAAAGCGUGGGGAGCAAACAGGAUUAGAUACCCUGGUAGUCCACGCCGUAAACGGUGGGCGCUAGGUGUGGGGAACUAUCUACGUUUUCCGCGCCGCAGCUAACGCAUUAAGCGCCCCGCCUGGGGAGUACGGAA
rnacentral:rRNA from 1 species